AAAUGACUCUCGGCAACGGAUAUCUCGGCUCUCGUAUCGAUGAAGAACGUAGCGAAAUGCGAUACUUGGUGUGAAUUGCAGAAUCCCGUGAACCAUCGAGUCUUUGAACGCAAGUUGCGCCUGAAGCCUUUGGCUAAGGGCACGUCUGCCUGGGCGUCACACAU
rnacentral:rRNA from 1 species